rnacentral:rRNA from 1 species
CUAAACGACCAUAGCAAGGCGGUCCCACUCCUUCCCAUUCCGAACAGGACAGUGAAACGCUUUAGCGCCGAUGAUAGUUGGUUGUAUUUCCAGUGAAAGUAGGACAUCGUUUAGC